GACGAACGCUGGCGGCGUGCUUAACACAUGCAAGUCGAACGGAAAGGCCCUGCUUUUGUGGGGUGCUCGAGUGGCGAACGGGUGAGCAACACGUGAGUAACCUGCCCUUGACUUUGGGAUAACUUCAGGAAACUGGGGCUAAUACCGGAUAGGAGCUCCUGCUGCAUGGUGGGGGUUGGAAAGUUUCGGCGGUUGGGGAUGGACUCGCGGCUUAUCAGCUUGUUGGUGGGGUAGUGGCUUACCAAGGCUUUGACGGGUAGCCGGCCUGAGAGGGUGACCGGCCACAUUGGGACUGAGAUACGGCCCAGACUCCUACGGGAGGCAGCAGUGGGGAAUAUUGCACAAUGGGCGGAAGCCUGAUGCAGCAACGCCGCGUGCGGGAUGACGGCCUUCGGGUUGUAAACCGCUUUCGCCUGUGACGAAGCGUGAGUGACGGUAAUGGGUAAAGAAGCACCGGCUAACUACGU
rnacentral:rRNA from 1 species